AUUGAACGCUGGCGGCAGGCCUAACACAUGCAAGUCGAACGAGUGGCGGACGGGUGAGUAAUGUCUGGGAAACUGCCUGAUGGAGGGGGAUAACUACUGGAAACGGUAGCUAAUACCGCAUACCAUCGGAUGUGCCCAGAUGGGAUUAGCUAGUAGGUGGGGUAAAGGCUCACCUAGGCGACGAUCCCUAGCUGGUCUGAGAGGAGGACCAGCCACACUGGAACGGAGACACGGUCCAGACUCCUACGGGGGGAAGCAGUGGGGAAUAUUGCACAAUGGGCGCAAGCCGGAUGCACCCAUGCCGGUGGUAUGAAGAGGGCCUCCGGGUUGUAAAGUCCUUUCAUCGGGGAGGCGUUACCCACAGAAGAAGCAACGGCUAACUCCGUGCCAGCAGCCGCGGUAAUAC
rnacentral:rRNA from 1 species